rnacentral:rRNA from 1 species
UACGUAGGGUGCGAGCGUUGUCCGGAAUUAUUGGGCGUAAAGAGCUCGUAGGCGGUUUGUCGCGUCUGCUGUGAAAACUCGGGGCUUAACCCCGGGCCUGCAGUGGGUACGGGCAGACUAGAGUGCGGUAGGGGAGACUGGAAUUCCUGGUGUAGCGGUGAAAUGCGCAGAUAUCAGGAGGAACACCGGUGGCGAAGGCGGGUCUCUGGACAGUUCCUGACGCUGAGGCACGAAGGUCAGGGGAGCAAACGGG